rnacentral:rRNA from 1 species
AUUGAACGCUGGCGGAAUGCUUUACACAUGCAAGUAGAACGGUAGAGGGGGCAACCGCUCAAGAGUGGCGAACGGGUGAGUAAUAUAGCGGCACGUGCUCAGUCGUGGGGAGUAACGUAGCGAAAUGUACGCUAAUAUCGCAUACGAGCUAAGGAUGAAAGCGGGGGAUCGCAAGACCUCGCGCGAUUGGACAGGCGGAUAGCAGAUUAGGUAGUUGGUGGGGUAAAGGCUAACCAAGCCAACGAUCUGUAGCUGGUCUGAGAGUACGACCAGCCACACUGGAACUGAGACAUGGUCCAGACUCAUACGGGAGGCAGCAGUGGGGAAUUUUGGACAAUGGACGCAAGUCUGAUCUAGCCAUUCGGCGUGCAGGAUGAAGGCCCUCGGGUUGUAAACUGCUUUUGUACGGAACGAAAAGGUCUCUCUUAAUACGGGGGACUCAUGACGGUACCGUAAGAAUAAGCACCGGCUAACUACGUGCCAGCCGCCGCAGUAACAC